rnacentral:rRNA from 1 species
UACGUAGGGUGCGAGCGUUGCCCGGAUUUAUUGGGCGUAAAGGGCGCGCAGGCGGUCGUUCAAGUCGCGUGUGAAAGCCCCCGGCUCAACUGGGGAGGGUCACGCGAUACUGAUCGACUGGAAGGCAGGAGAGGGUAGUGGAAUUCCCGGUGUAGUGGUGAAAUGCGUAGAUAUCGGGAGGAACACCAGUGGCGAAGGCGACUACCUGGCCUGUUCUUGACGCUGAGGCGCGAAAGCUAGGGGAGCAAACGGG